UAUAUGGGCUAAGACAGUGUGCAGGCUAGUGUGCAGGGACCUUUGUCUCCCGAGACAAAUCAAAGUCAGUCAUGGCCUCUUAUUCUGUCAUUUCAGGCAGACCAUGGAUGUCUGCGGUGGACAAGAAAAGAGGCGCUCUGCUGGAUGGAGGCCAUGCAGAGGUGGUGUGAGGGAUCAGAUAUUGCCCAAGGGGGUCCACCAACGCAUCAUCCCCCAGCGAUGAGUAAGCUACCACCAGCGGUACCAGCGGAGAAACACUGCUGGAUGAGCAGGGAACAGUGGGAGACGACGUCAGAAAUUGCCAGAGUUAAAGUGGGAGUUGCUCAAGUGAAGGAGGCUGAGUCCAGAAGAGGAGCUCAUAAUGGUAAUGUGGCCAGCAGGUGGGAAAUGGCCAAGUGUCCUCUGGUACAGUUAGAGGGAGAAAUUGGGAGCUGGAGUGUUGGGAAACUGGAAGGAUGUACAGUGGUUAUAAUGAGGCUUGCAGAGUGUGUAUGUGUUGGAGGUAGAGCUGGGAGAAGGAGAGCACAGGUGAGACGGCCAUCACAGGAAAGCCAGAGUCAGACUUCAUCAGUCAACACCACCACAGCCUGCACAGCAGAGGAAGUAGUAGUUCACCUUGGGAAAUUAGUCUCACACUUGCCUUCAUUUCUUCUGAAGUCCCAGGAGCCGUUUCUUUUUUUUUUCUUUACAGUUUGUUUCUCUUGUUCUGUUUGAAUGUGUUAAGAAACAGCUGAGCCAUAAAGAAUUGACUGAGCAUGUUUUUGUUGCAGACUGGUUGCAAAUGAGCUAAAACUGCAUCCUGUGGGGAAAGAGUGGAGCAACUUUAGUUCACCCAAGGUUUUUAGCCUGUGGAAGCAGUGUCCAGUAGCCAUCUUCCUCAUAAUAAGAACUAAACCCCAACCUUUGCCCCUGUAAGAAAGGUAAAUAUUAAAACAUCACACCCCACCUUAUUAGAUAAUGCCAUCUUCAUAAUUACAGCUACUACAUUAGAAGAUAAACCCAUAACAGAUAACAGAUAACCCGGACAGUAUUUAUGUCAUGGUAUGAAGUUAGCUUGACAGUUGCUCAUAAUGAUGAAUCUGCAGAGAAUCAUCAGCUGAAUCUCCAGGCCCAUAAGCCUAAUGGAGCUUUAAAGUGAGGUUGGGUUUAUAGUCUGGUGAACAAUAUUACUAUUCUGGUUCAGUCUCAGGGCUCUCGUACCAAACAGCCGUUUGUUUUGUUGCAUGCUGUCUCCAAAAAAACUGAACAAAGCAGAAUAGAAAAAGAUCUGUAAACUGAUAAGUCUGAAGCUGAAUUGUUUGCUCUACAUGUGCUUUGAAAAGGGAACAAAUAUGAAGACUGGAGUAGAGAAAAUGAAUGUCCAGGUUUAUCAGGUCGGGUGAUGCGGCAGGAUGUUGAGCCCAGAUGUCUGCUGGCUCUGGGGACAGAACAUGCCUUCUGGAUUUGCCUGGUCAGAGCCCAGAGCUCAACCCAGUAGGGAUGCUACUGUAUGAAAAGAGUCAGUUCAAGCAGUUAUUAAAAUGCAAUUUCACUUUUGUUUAUAUUUGUGACUUUGGUCAAGAUCAAAUCACAUCUCAUGACCAAUUUAUGCAGAAAACCAGGACACUGCAAAUAGUUCACUUACUUUUUCUUGCCAUUCUGUGGUAGUAGAAUAAUGGGCCAGCCACAGAUGCAACCAAGGGAGAAAUAGGACUUCAGUAAAAGGAACAAAGCAAAAAUCACGGAAUCCCACAUUUACAUUUUAAACUUCCCCCCUCAGGGUGGUGAUAUAAACAAAUAAGGUCCAAUCGCAAAUAUGUAAAGUGAAUCCUGCCAAACUCAAUCAGAGUGUUGAGCAUUUAGCUUAGCUUCUCCCUUUUUCAUUUUAAAUCUGUGACAGUUUUAUUAUAUUUGUUUGGUUGUUUAUGUGUUUUGUGAUUGUGUAUUAUGUAGCCUUUUAACUGCCUGGUGAAGCAAAAGAUAAUAUGUGGGCAAUAGUAAUUACAGAUCAAUGAUAUGUACAGCACGGUAGCAUGAAAAAUGUUUUUAGUUAGAAAAAGAAGCCUAAUCCUGCUUCUGCCGCAGCUCACAGGAAACUACCUUUGCUAAGUGUGUGACAUUGAAACAAAUACUGUAUUAGAAACACAUGAGGAGUGACAGCACUAGCUGCUGCAGUUAGUGAAAACAAUAAGCGAUGGAGCCCUCUAACCACUUACUGCAUGAAAAACACAAUAAAGCCUAUCUCAUACAGUACCA
ensembl:lncRNA